UACGGAGGGUCCAAGCGUUAUCCGGAAUUAUUGGGUUUAAAGGGUCCGCAGGCGGAACUUUAAGUCAGGGGUGAAAUUUCUAGGCUUAACCUAGACAUUGCCUUUGAAACUAAAGUUCUUGAAUUCGGUCGAAGUGGGCGGAAUAUGUCAUGUAGCGGUGAAAUGCUUAGAUAUGACGUGGAACUCCGAUAGCGAAGGCAGCUCACUAGGCCUGAAUUGACGCUCAGGGACGAAAGCGUGGGGAGCAAACAGG
rnacentral:rRNA from 1 species